UCUUACGGCCACACUGCCUGGUUCACGCCUGAUCUCGUUUGAUCUCGGAAGCUAAGGUAGGUUGGGCCUGGUUAGUACUUGGAUGGGAGACCGCCUGGGAAUACCAGGUGCUGUAAGCU
rnacentral:rRNA from 1 species